GCCUCUGACAACAGCUCUGAGAGGCACUGAUGGGACCCUGGACUGUGGAUGCAGCAGGACACGGGUUCUCUUCGGCCUCGGGGGACCUGCGUGGUGUGUUGGGGACCCGCCCAGACUCAGUGCCCAGACUCCUCAAGGCCUGCCUACCUGGAGGGGGGAGGAAGGCAAGGAGGUGGGGCAGGAUGGAUUGGACGAGCCUUAGCGGCUGCCUGGAGGCCCAGCUGUCUGGGCACACAGGAACGUGCAGGGUGCAUGCGGGGGCCCUGCUCCCUGUCAGUCACAGCUGCAAGGAGGCAGCAGGGGAAGGUGGUGGCUGCACAGGCAUCCAGGGGGAGGCUGACAGGAAGAGGGGUCGCUUGUAACAUAGCAGGCCACCGGCUGAGACCUGCUGAGGGAUGUGCAUUACUCAGAGGGUGGGUCCGGUUCUCAUUUUAGACCCAAAAUAAACUCUCCAGGCCCUGUUGUAGUUGGCUAAUG
rnacentral:lncRNA from 1 species